AACGAACGCUGGCGGCACGCCUAACACAUGCAAGUCGAACGAGAAGUUACCUUCGGGUAAUGGACAGUGGCGGACGGGUGAGUAACACGUGGGAACAUGCCUUUCAGUACGGAACAACGCUUGGAAACGAGUGCUAAUACCGUAUACGCCCUUAGGGGGAAAGAUUUAUCGCUGAAAGAUUGGCCCGCGCUAGAUUAGCUAGUUGGUAAGGUAAUGGCUUACCAAGGCGACGAUCUAUAGCUGGUUUGAGAGGAUGAUCAGCCACACUGGGACUGAGACACGGCCCAG
rnacentral:rRNA from 1 species